AGAGUUUGAUCCUGGCUCAGGAUGAACGCUGGCGGCGUGCCUAAUACAUGCAAGUCGAGCGAACUGAUUAGAAGCUUGCUUCUAUGACGUUAGCGGCGGACGGGUGAGUAACACGUGGGCAACCUGCCUGUAAGACAGGGAUAACUUCGGGAAACCGAAGCUAAUACCGGAUAGGAUCUUCUCCUUCAUGGGAGAUGAUUGAAAGAUGGUUUCGGCUAUCACUUACAGAUGGGCCCGCGGUGCAUUAGCUAGUUGGUGAGGUAACGGCUCACCAAGGCAACGAUGCAUAGCCGACCUGAGAGGGUGAUCGGCCACACUGGGACUGAGACACGGCCCAGACUCCUACGGGAGGCAGCAGUAGGGAAUCUUCCGCAAUGGACGAAAGUCUGACGGAGCAACGCCGCGUGAGUGAUGAAGGCUUUCGGGUCGUAAAACUCUGUUGUUAGGGAAGAACAAGUACGAGAGUAACUGCUCGUACCUUGACGGUACCUAACCAGAAAGCCACGGCUAACUACGUGCCAGCAGCCGCGGUAAUACGUAGGUGGCAAGCGUUAUCCGGAAUUAUUGGGCGUAAAGCGCGCGCAGGCGGU
rnacentral:rRNA from 1 species